rnacentral:misc_RNA from 1 species
UUAAAUAAAAAUCGGUGUUGUUGCUACCUUUCGUGGUGACGCGUCGGACUUGGGUCGUCUUAUCCUUCGGCUAAGUGACUUAAAAUUUUGCAUGAUUUUUGAACGUAUUUAAAUUGCUUACGUACGUUUGAGAUAUCGAAUGUUUUUAUUAGGUUCGGUCAUCCUCAUGACUCGCGCCUAUAAUUUUUUCAUU